rnacentral:lncRNA from 1 species
AGGGGGGGGUAGGAGAGCCGCUCGGCUGUCGGGGGUCCGUCGCGGUGCCGCGAAAGGGAUUUGGGAGCAGCCGCUCCGACGCCGAUCGUUGGACGUAACCGCGGCCACAUUCAGGUGCACGGCGUAGGCACGGGGAAAGCCUUUCCGUAAUCCUUUCCGUGGGCAACACGGUGAAAAGCCGCAGAUUUGGGGCGGUCGCUCUUUGCCGUGCGUUCCCGGGGCAAAGCUAUUGGGAUGUUUGUUUUGUUUCCCUUCGUUCCUCUUUGAGUGUUUGCAUUUUGGGGGUUUUGUUCGUUUGUUUCCGGGCUGCGGAACGAGACCCGGUGAUGGCAGCCGGGGGGGGGGCGGGGGGGGAAAGAGCCGCCGUGGAUGAGACGUGAAAUGCGCCGUAGGGUUUCGCCUAUCCCCAGCGCGCGGUGUGUGCCCAUUUCAAUAGCGGAUGGGCUGCUUCGUCGGGGAAGGGCUGAGUGCUAAACACACCCAAAGAUGAGUUACCCCACAUAGCGUUACCGGCGAUUAAAUUGUUCACAACUCUUUCGAAGCACGAGGGAGUGACAGAUCGAUAAUCGAUUAAAGAAAAAAAAGAAACAAAACCCCACCGCGGUGAAAGGGUUGUGCCUUACACCCCGAUAAAAUCCCACUGCGGGCCGGCUGGGGCUGCGGGGAGCUCCCGGUGCCGCGGGGUUCGCUGUCUGCGCUCUCCGUCCGGGACGCAUUCGCCGCACCGCGGGCUGAAGCCCGUCUGAGCUGCCCGGCCCCGCCGCAACCGAAUCCGAUGGAAAUCACAUGUGCGAGAGGGGUCGGAGCGUGUUAAGCUCGAGGAUCCCGCAGGAGCUGAACCGCCCUCGCGCUGGGGCUGGGAUCGAUAGGGGGAGAUACAGCGACUCCUGUGGAUUCAUCUGGAUGAGAUUUCCAAUGUUGGAAAACAGAAAGCCUUGAAAGCCUUUCCCUACAAACAGCUGUCCUGGCAGAGCCACUGGAGCAUUGUACUGCAGUUCAGAGACUGGGAGAAGAUCAGGAGAUGGAGUGAGAGGCAAAAAUACCUCCGGCCAUUACUGCCACCAGGGACAGGACAUUGCAGAGCUGCAACCUUACGUUCUGCUUGCAGCUUGGCUCAGACUCAGGGCAGGACUCUGGAAAAGUUACUUGGCAUCACUGUACCUCAGUGCCUCAAUUUUUGGCCUUGCAAAAUGGAGUCAAUGAGUGUUACUCAGGCUGGAGAAGAUCAGAGCUGCAUAUGAAGGGCUCUCUGUGCAUGGCUAUUGUACACGCUAUAUUGUACUCAUGCUUUUAUAAACAUACAUGCAUAUGCAGUUUCUUUCCUAUGGCCAUUUUUGUGUCAGAAACAGACUUAUGGCCAAAACCAAACAGGACUACUUCUCUGGGAAUAUUGUGCAGUUGCUAAUUUCACUACCGGAACUGUGUUGCUGCACAAUCUGGCCUCCUUCCAUCACUGCCUCUCUUGAAAAUAAAGGGGACUGAUGAGCCUAUGGAUAAUGGUAAACAUAUGGAGCUUAGGCAGUGCUAUACAUUAAAAGCCAGAACACAUUAAAAGGUAUUUUAGUUGUUGGUAGCAUAAGAUCAGUGUAGGAAACAUCAUCUAACAGAGAAAUCUCAUACCAAUAAGUUUCAUACUCUGACAGCGCUUGGCAUUUUCCUUUCAUUUCACAAAAAAAUAAAAUAAAAAAUGACUAAUUCAAAACAAGGGCCAAACCGUUAAGUUUCAAAUUAGUUUGUCAUAACUGCAAAAAUACUGGAUCUUUGGUUUUGUUUAUGUUGGAAGCCUCUUUCAUUUCAGACUAGGUCACUUGGUUUUCUUUUGAGUGUACACGAGACCUUUGACUCCUUGGAGGACACAGGAGGCAAAUUGAGUAAUGUGAUGUCAUUGCCUUGUGGAGUUCUCAUAACACUAACUAUAUUAGUCACUUGCCUUGCCAGUACCAAGAGGGUGAAAAAGAAAUCCAGCAAGAUGUUGGUAUUACGUGGAUGGAAAACAAUUAUUGUUCCCUGUGAUGUAUUCUCCUUUCUCUCCAUUAUUUCCAUUGUUUGGUGAAGCUUGAGAAGACUGUGCUUCAGCUAAGUGAUACUUCUCACCUGAUCAUUUGUCUUCUCCUUGAUGUUUACAUUUACUGCACAAAAGUAGUGAAAUUUUGUACUCAGAGUGGCAAUUUAUAUUCGUUAAGUUAAAUAGAUUAAAAGUUUGACUUAUGUUUCUUGGGGGAAUGGUGAUUAUUCAGUCACAGACAGAUACGAGAAGCCAUAUAUUUGGGGAAAGCAUUUUUGUUGCUUCUGGAUUUUUCCUUUGGUCACAGGAAGGCGUAUGAAUAAAAACAUGGUUAUACUUACAAAUAUCUGUUUGCUUUUCUCUUUGUAAAGCAAAAGUGUCAGAUCCUUGCUCCAGUGAAACACAAUGUUGGAUUCCAUACAAGCUCCAUGUUGUUCACACCAAAUACUUACCUGUUGUGUAAUGACAACAUAUUCUCACAUGGGAUGGCAAUAAAUAUAAAGAUGCCUAAUUUUUUUCUAAGUUUUCAUAUCUUGCAUUCAGAAAAAAAAGUAAUUUUCCUUACUGACCUUGGGAUUACUUCAAGCAGGUUUUGUGAGUGACUUUUGCUCCUGCUUUUAGUACCACUGACCUUUUAGUGCAAGAGUAAUUUUCUAUGUAAUCCAAAAUCAGUAAUGAAGAUUAUGUAACGUGUCCUAGGAUUCUUCUGGUAGUGUAUUAAAAUAAAUAAAUAAACAAACAAAAAUAAAAUGAUUUAUCACAGCGUAUAAUAUAUAAUUAGUCAUUUGAUAAUUCUAAAAUCAACCCAAUAUGUCAGGAUUUUUUUAGGGAUGCUUGAGGAAUAGAUACCAUGCAUAUAAACUGUUGCCCAGUGAAUAAAUGAUUGCUAUAAGAUCUCAGUUUCUGACUUACUUAGAAGUUAAAUAAAACAUUGGUCAGUCCUUUUUGAGAUCUCUUGCAUAUAAAUCAGCCUGAAGAACUACUUGGGUUUUACUUAGUGACUAGUGGAAAAAUACUUUCCAGAAAUCCUACAUUUGAAAGCCUCAUACUCAUCCCAUUCUUUCAGGACUUAAGUGCCUCUGCUUAAGUGAGAAGUGACAUAGUUUAGCCCAACAGUGAUUGCAUUCAGAGGUAUGCUUUAUUCUGAACAACCAAUUCUUGGAGACUUAAGCCAAUGAGGGAUUAACUCCUUCAGCUGGAGUUAGUGGCCUCCUCCACCCAAAACUAGAAAGCAAAACAAGCCUCUCCACCCUUAUGAACCUCCUAUCCAAAGCUGAAGUCAUGCAG